rnacentral:rRNA from 1 species
UGGGGAAUUUUGGACAAUGGGGGCAACCCUGAUCCAGCCAUCCCGCGUGUGCGAUGAAGGCCUUCGGGUUGUAAAGCACUUUUGGCAGGGAAGAAACAGCCUGGGCUAAUAUCCCGGGCGACUGACGGUACCUGCAGAAUAAGCACCGGCUAACUACGUGCCAGCAGCCGCGGUAAUACGUAGGGUGCAAGCGUUAAUCGGAAUUACUGGGCGUAAAGCGUGCGCAGGCGGUUCGGAAAGAAAGGUGUGAAAUCCCAGGGCUUAACCUUGGAACUGCACUUUUAACUACCGGGCUAGAGUACGUCAGAGGGGGGUAGAAUUCCACGUGUUGCAGUGAAAUGCGUAGAGAUGUGGAGGAAUACCGAUGGCGAAGGCAGCCCCCUGGGAUGAUACUGACGCUCAUGCACGAAAGCGUGGGGAGCAAACA